rnacentral:rRNA from 1 species
UAGCGAAGGGGGCUAGCGUUGCUCGGAAUCACUGGGCGUAAAGCGCACGUAGGCGGAUUGUUAAGUCAGGGUGAAAUCCUGGAGCUCAACUCCAGAACUGCCUUUGAUACUGGCGAUCUUGAGUCCGGGAGAGGUGAGUGGAACUGCGAGUGUAGAGGUGAAAUUCGUAGAUAUUCGCAAGAACACCAGUGGCGAAGGCGGCUCACUGGCCCGGUACUGACGCUGAGGUGCGAAAGCGUGGGGAGCAAACAGG